AGGUAAGAAUAAGACCGUGACAUGGUGCUGAUGGUGACAUCUCAUACCAGAAGAAGCCAUUCUUGGGUCCCUGUGGCUGAGAUAAAUAACAAUAAUAAAACAUUUUAUUUUAUUUUACAAUGUUUUAUUUAUGAGUUGCUUUUAGCUCAGGUGGUCUGCCCACCUGGGGUCUGUUUCACGAAGCAGGUUUUACAAACGCUGAGUUUCUUCCACAACUCUGAGUUGAUCUACUCUGAGAUAGAAACUCUGAGUUUUCGGUUUCACAACGGCUGAUAUGAGUUGGUUUAAUUAACUCGGAGUAGUUUGACCCGGAGUUACGCGCGUGCACCGCAAGUCUGAAAAGACAGCAUCAAUGGAACCCCGAUUCGACGAGUCACCAUGGAAACGGGGAAGCGAAAGGCUGCGUUUUUGAACUGGAAGUUUUUAACGCGCUCAUAUGGCGAGUUUGAACACGUUUUUAGAAAGAAGUGCAACACCGCUGCAGCUGUAAAAGAGAGAGAGACGGCGUGGAGAACAGCCCGGAUCAAUGCAGCAUGGCUGGACAGCAGCAGGAUGGUUCCUCAGCUUCCACUGCACAGACUGACACAGUGAGAUGGAUGUUCAGGAAACACCAGAGCUUCAUUCUGUGGAAUUCAUGUGCAACUGUAUCAUUGAAUGUCCUCUAUGUAUUCCCAGUUAUCAGUAAAACAGAUUUACAAACUGCAUUUGCUGAGAAAAAUCCAAAAAACAGAUUAGGAGGACAGAUCUGGAAAUUGAAAUACUGGAGCACAAGUUAGAGGUGGUGAUGGUCACAGGAGAAUUAUGUUAACUACUGGAACAUGAACUGAACUAUCUUUUAUUUGUAGGAAAUAAAGAAGAGCAAAUGAAA